AUCAAAAACAUGUCUUAUAGUAAAUUGAUUUUAAGUCUGACCUGCUCAAUGAAAUUAAUUUUAAAUUGCUAUAGUAUUUUGACUAUACAAAGGUAGCAUAAUAAUUUGUCUUUUAAUUGAAGACUUGUAUGAAUGGUUGGACGAGGGAUAAUCUUUCUUAAUUUAAAUUUUAUUUUGAAUUUAAUAUUUUUGUAAAAAAGCUUAAAUGUUGUUGUGGGACGAGAAGACCCUAUAGAAUUUUAAUAAGAAUUUAAAAAUAUUAUUGUAGAAAAUUAAAUAAUAUUUUUAAAUUCUUAUUUUUGUUGGGGUGACAGUAGAAAAUUUUUAACUUCUAUUUAAUUUAAUUCAUUAAUGAAUGUGCUAAUGAUCCUAUUUUAUGGAUUAAAAGAUUAAAUUACCUUAGGGAUAACAGCGUUAUUAUUUUGGAGAGUUCAUAUUGAUGAAAUAGUUUGCGACCUCGAUGUUGGAUUAAAGUUAGUCUUAUAGUGCAGAAGCUUAAUGACUAGGUCUGUUCGACCUUUAAAUCUUUACAUGAUCUGAGUUCAAACCGGAGA
rnacentral:rRNA from 1 species